rnacentral:rRNA from 1 species
CACGUAGGGGGCGAGCGUUGUCCGGAAUCAUUGGGCGUAAAGAGCUCGUAGGCGGCUCAGUAAGUCGGGUGUGAAACCCUCAGGCUCAACCUGGGGACGCCACCCGAUACUGCUGUGGCUAGAGUCCAGUAGGGGAGUGUGGAAUUCCCGGUGUAGCGGUGAAAUGCGCAGAUAUCGGGAGGAACACCGGUGGCGAAGGCGGGUCUCUGGGCCAAAACUGACGCUGAGGAGCGAAAGCGUGGGGAGCGAACAGG